UACGUAGGGGGCAAGCGUUGUCCGGAUUUAUUGGGCGUAAAGAGCGUGUAGGCGGCCAGGUAGGUCUGCUGUGAAAACUCGAGGCUUAACCUCGAGCUGUCGAGGGAAACCAUCUGGCUAGAGUCCGGAAGAGGAGAAUGGAAUUCCCGGUGUAGCGGUGAAAUGCGCAGAUAUCGGGAAGAACACCCGUGGCGAAGGCGGUUCUCUGGGACGGUACUGACGCUGAGACGCGAAAGCGUGGGGAGCGAACAGG
rnacentral:rRNA from 1 species